GGAGGUGUAGCUGAGUGGUAAAGCACAUGCUUAGCAUGCAUGAGGCCCUGGGUUCAAUUGCCAGCACCACCU